AACGAACGCUGGCGGCAUGCCUAACACAUGCAAGUCGAACGAGACCUUCGGGUCUAGUGGCGCACGGGUGCGUAACGCGUGGGAACCUGCCCUUAGGUUCGGAAUAACUCAGAGAAAUUUGAGCUAAUACCGGAUAAUGUCUUCGGACCAAAGAUUUGUCGCCUUUGGAUGGGCCCGCGUAGGAUUAGCUUGUUGGUGGGGUAAUGGCCUACCAAGGCGACGAUCCUUAGCUGGUCUGAGAGGAUGAGCAGCCACACUGGGACUGAGACACGGCCCAGACUCCUACGGGAGGCAGCAGUGGGGAAUAUUGGACAAUGGGCGAAAGCCUGAUCCAGCAAUGCCGCGUGAGUGAUGAAGGCCUUAGGGUUGUAAAGCUCUUUUACCAGGUAUGAUAAUGACAGUACCUGGAGAAUAAGCUCCGGCUAACUCCGUG
rnacentral:rRNA from 1 species